rnacentral:rRNA from 1 species
CCUACGGGAGGCAGCAGUGGGGAAUAUUGCACAAUGGGGGCAACCCUGAUGCAGCAACGCCGCGUGAGUGAAGACGUAUCUCGGUAUGUAAAGCUCUAUCAGCAGGGAAGUAGAUGACGGUACCUGAUCAUGUAGCCCCGGCUAAAUACGUUCCAGCAGCCGCGGUAAUACGGAGGGGGCAAGCGUUAUCCGGAUUUACUGGGUGUAAGGGGAGCGUAGACGGGAGUGCAAGUCUGGAGUGAAAGCCCGCGGCCCAACCCCGGAACUGCUCUGGAAACUGUACGGCUUGAGUACUGGUGGGGUAGGCGGAAUUCGUGGUGUAGCGGUGAAAUGCGUAGAUAUUAGGAAGAACACCAAUGGCGAAGGCGACCUGCUGGACAGUAACUGACGUUGAGGCUCGAAAGCGUGGGGAGCAAACAGGAUUAGAUACCCUUGUAGUC